rnacentral:lncRNA from 1 species
CUAAAAUGACUAUUAUUUAGAGCUCUGUAAAUAAAAAAAAAUAUGUAAGCAGAGCUCUAUAUAUAGAUAAUAGAUUUGGAGGGUUUGAGAAAUAGUGGGUAACUAACAAUUGAUGAGGGGAAAUUUAAAAAAAAACUGAUUUUGUUAAAACUGUAAAGUGCAUCUGAUAUUUUUUUUUUAUACAUGUAUAAUGUUAUUUCUGAAAGCAAAUGGACAAUAAGAUAAUGAGGACAUGGACCUCCUUGGCAGUUAUGAUAGCAGCUCUAAGGAAGAUGGUCAAUUAUAUCUUCAACCAAGUCUGAGGCUUUACCAGGAAAAAUCUGUGGUGAGUUGAAAUGUUCCACAAAAUUUAUAAUAAUAUUAUUAUAGACUUUUAAAACUUUUUAUUUAUUAAGGGUUUUUGUGUGAUAUUGAAGAUAUCUGCAUCAUUUCAUAACAUUUUUUUAUAACUUGUAUUUAAUGAAAAUGUUUUCUACCUUAUGUAUCAAGUCAAUAUUUUGAAGAUAUUAUAUAACAAAUUCAUAAGAAAUGAUACAAGGCAUAAUUAUGUUUCUCUUCUUAAUUUUAUCUUUUAAACAUUUUUUUUUAUUUCAGGUUGUUGAAAUUACAAUGUUUUCCUGGUGUUGGGAGUAAGACAUGGAUAUCUGAUAUUGUUAACAUGUUGGUAGGUAUUAAAGCUUUUAUUUUUAAUAAUUUUAAUAGUAUUUGACAUCAAUAAAUUUUUUGAAGGUUUGAAAUACUAUACAAUAUGAUGAAAUACAAGUUUAUUUUUUGCUAACUUAAUAAAAUUGAAAAUGUAAAUCGGGAAUGUGUUGGAGAGAUAAAAAAAAAAAACUUACAAAGGGCAAAAAACAUAACCAUUAGUUUGAUUUUGAAUACCAAUUAUUUUCUUGCAGAAUUUUGUUUGUUAUCUGAGAACUUUUAAAACAAUUAUUAUGAUGUACAUAUUUUUUGAAAGUUGAGAAUAACUGACCUUGAACUUUGUUUUACAGGUUAGCAUCACAAGUUUCCUUGGGGUUACUUGCUUGGGGAGUUAUUAGAGCUGUUUUAAGGUGAGAAUUUAUUAAUCAACAAACAAUUUAAAUUUAUUUAUUAUACAUGUAUCUAAUUUUAAAUGCCCCUAGAUAUCUAUAUAUCUAUCCUAAAUAUAUGUCAAUGUAAAAUGUUGUACCUUUACUUUAGAAGUGUAUCUAUAUUUACUGAUUUGUCUCCCUUGCCCUGAACAAGAUUAGGCCCGAGACUACAAUUAAUUCCUCUAUCAGUUCUUUAUAACGUUUUGUCGCAUUAAAAAAAAAUUUGCCUAUUCUUUUUGUCUAAUUUUUGGUGUGUGCAAUGUACAGUUCAAGUCCAAAAAUAUAUGCAAUUUUCAGAAAAAUUGCAUGUUUACAUCAUACAAAUUUGGCCAAUACACAUCCAUACCCCUAUAGGCAAGUCAAGAGAUGUUCCGAAAAGUGUAAAUACUACCUUUUUGCACCUGGCCGAAUCACUCUUUCCUUAUCAAAAUCAGUUAAAAUAAAAACAUCCAAAAGUUUAUUUCAGCUCUCUUCUUUCAUUUCCACCCCAGAAAAACUAAGAAAUGUAUGAGAAAGGGAAAGAAAAAAAAUAAAGAAAAAAUACACUAUAAUUAAAGGGAACUAUAUUCAUGGACAACGAAAAGUGGGGUCAUUAAUUGUGGUCUUGGGCCAGAUGUGAAGGGGAGAUAAUCUGAUAUCAAGUAAAACCUAGCUAUCAUAAAAAAGAUGAUCAUGUAUGAUAACUGCUUUACAUUCAGUCAUUCAUAUUUUCAUUACAAAUUUCAAAAGAAUUUAUUCCUACUUUUUUAUCAUGGAGAAAAUUUUGUUUGGAUCUCAGUAAGGGUCAAUAAAACAACAAAUAACAAAAUAUUCAUUAAAUUUUACUUUUUAUUAAGUGAACUUACCAGCAGCUUCUGCAUUCACUGUGUUAAAUAUUUCCAAUAAUUGCUCAGGUAUUUGAUGUCAAGUCUCAUAAUUGUAAAGUUUGGAAAAUUUAUUUUUGUGUAUUGACAGAUUUCAGUAAAAUGAAGUAGCAAAAAUAAGAAGAGUUUUCACAUUCAUUGAUAUGUUUUUUUUUUAAAUUGAAUUUUAUUAUAUACCCUUAAGAUUAUUUUGAUAAAAUAAUUGAAACUUAACUUUAUUUCUUUUCAGUUGAAAGUGUAACAGUUGCUGCCUUGUAUGGUAAAAUCCUCAGACAAUAAUCCUGCAAACAAUCGGAUGAACUGUUACUAUCUCUAUUGGAACAAUCUGUAGACAGUAGUCUUGUAAGCAGAAUGAGUUUUUAACAAAUUGUAUUUUUAUUGCUGUAUUGAAUUUCAAAUUAUAGAUUUUUUUUUAUUUAUAUUACUUGCAUUCAAUUAUUGUUUUGUGAUUGAUGAAAAAUUAAACUGAAAUUAUUGUUAUUUGAGGGGUCCCAAAGGUAUGCCAUAUGGUUUCUCAAAGUACCCACAUACAUAGGUUUCUAUAUAUUUUAAGUUAUGUACAUGUAAGCCUUACAAGUGCUUUGUGAAAUGAAUUUUGUCGGUUACAAUUCAAAAUAGUAGGAUUUUGAUGGCCAAACACUAUGAAAAGAGAAUAUGAAACUAGUCCCCUGUUAAAUAUUUUAACUACUAAGUUUUUGACCCCAAAUAAAAAUGUUUGGGUUUUGGGUUGGGUUUUACUCCACUGACUGCCUAAGAGGGGACCAGGCCAGCCCAAGUGAUUCCCUUUAUAAUCAACAAUUUUUUUCCCACAAAAGUUUGU